AUUGAACGCUGGCGGCAGGCCUAACACAUGCAAGUCGAGCGAGCGGCGGACGGGUGAGUAAUGUAUGGGGACCGCCCGAUAGAGGGGGAUAACUACUGGAAACGGUAGCUAAUACCGCAUAUUACCGGAUUACCCAUCUGGGUUUAGUUGGUUGGUGAGGUAAUGGCUCACCUAGGCGACGAUCCCUAGCUGGUCUGAGAGGAUGAUCAGCCACACUGGGACUGAGACACGGCCCAGACUCCUACGGAGGCAGCAGUGGGGAAUAUUGCACAAUGGGCGAAAGCCUGAUGCGGCCAUGCCGCGUGUAUGAAGAAGGCCCUGGGGUUGUAAAGUACUUUCAGUCAGAAGGCGUUACCGAAAGAGGAAGCACCGGCUAACUCCGUGCCAGCAGCCGCGGUAAUAC
rnacentral:rRNA from 1 species